CCGAUCGCGUUCCUCUGAGAUCUUCUUCUCCAUAUUAUCGACCUCAGCCUGCAAUGUACAUACAAUAAUCUUUCAAUCUAACGAUACACAUUGUGAGUGAUGACGUCAUGUAACACUUUGGAUCUUUUUAAAAGAAUAGCAUUAACUCUGUGGAAAGAGGUACAGCAAAAACGCAAAAAGACACCAAACUCCGUAAGAGAAACUAAAAUUUUAUACUGAAAACGAGGAGAUUUAACUUCUUUAUCGAGCCGAGAUGAUUCGAUUCUUUUUGGACAGGGGUCCGGGCUUCCAGAAGAUUUUCUCACCCGCACUUCCGCCUCCAAUCUGGAUAUAUUUUGACUGCGUUGUUUCUUCACUUUGAAGAGCAAUCGCAGAAUCAUUAGCCUCUUCAACGGAUCUUUGCGCCUCGGCUCGUUUCACAUCGUCCUCCGCAGCUGCAUGAGCGAUCUCUACGAUUACAUUGGUAAUCUCUGCAGUAUGUGCAUCUGGACUAAUUACUUCUUCUCCACCAGGUGCAUCUUCCGACGCUACAUCGGUGCUUUUCACAUCGAUAACUGGGACUGUAUUGUCAGCGCAAUCGAUCUUCGUUGCUUCAAUUGGAGGUGCAUCUCCACCGGCUGUGAGAUCUGAUUUCUCUACUUUAGACAUCUCCCUUUUUCUUAUUCUCUACAAGGAUGUUUGUAAUUUUAAUCGCGACGACCAAUUAAACGCGGUAACAUUGAAUCACGAAGAAAAUAGAAAAAUUUAGAUGGUCGACGUUGACUUGAAAAGAAAACAGAUGACUGAUACUCUUCUUUUGUUUACUACAUUACGCUCUCUAUCCAAGUAAAUAAAACGUAUCGCGCUAGAGUCUUUCUAAUGCAAUAUCCAGGCUAUAUUACGAUAUACAUAUACUGCUAUAAAUCAUAGAUGAAAAUAGAUUUUACAUAUAUUAUAUAUUUUCCAUAUUAAUAGUAUAUAACUGCAAUAAAUAUUAAGUGACAGUGA